GACGAACGCUGGCGGCGUGCUUAACACAUGCAAGUCGAACGCGGUCCAACCAGUCGCAAGACUGGUGAAGACCGAGUGGCGAACGGGUGCGUAACACGUGAGAAACCUGUCCCGGUCUCUGGAAUAACGAAUGGAAACACUCGCUAAUACCGGAUGCCGUCGGAUCACCGCAUGGUGAUCUGACGAAAGGGCUACCGGAUCGGGAGGGUCUCGCGGCCUAUCAGCUUGUUGGGAGGUAACGGCUCACCAAGGCAUCGACGGGUAGCUGGUCUGAGAGGAUGAUCAGCCACACUGGGACUGAGACACGGGCCCAGACUCCUACGGGAGCAGCAGUGGGAAUCUUGCACAAUGGGCGCAAGCCUGAUGCAGCAACG
rnacentral:rRNA from 1 species